rnacentral:rRNA from 1 species
UACAAGCAGUGGGAGCACAGGUUUACCUGUGUGACUGCGUACCUUUUGUAUAAUGGGUCAGCGACUUAUAUUCUGUAGCAAGGUUAACCGAAUAGGGGAGCCGGAGGGAAACCGAGUCUUAAUUGGGCGUUAAGUUGCAGGGUAUAGACCCGAAACCCGGUGAUCUAGCCAUGGGCAGGUUGAAGGUUGGGUAACACUAACUGGAGGACCGAACCGACUAAUGUUGAAAAAUUAGCGGAUGACCUGUGGCUGGGGGUGAAAGGCCAAUCAAACCGGGAGAUAGCUGGUUCUCCCCGAAAGCUAUUUAGGUAGCGCCUCGUGAAUUCAUCUCCGGGGGUAGAGCACUGUUUCGGCUAGGGGGCCAUCCCGGCUUACCAACCCGAUGCAAACUGCGAAUACCGGAGAAUGUUAUCACGGGAGACACACGGCGGGUGCUAACGUCCGUCGUGAAGAGGGAAACAACCCAGACCGCCAGCUAAGGUCCCAAAGUCAUGGUUAAGUGGGAAACGAUGUGGGAAGGCCCAGACAGCCAGGAUGUUGGCUUAGAAGCAGCCAUCAUUUAAAGAAAGCGUAAUAGCUCACUGGUCGAGUCGGCCUGCGCGGAAGAUGUAACGGGGCUAAACCAUGCACCGAAGCUGCGGCAGCGANNGUUGGGUAGGGGAGCGUUCUGUAAGCCUGUGAAGGUGGCCUGUGAGGGUUGCUGGAGGUAUCAGAAGUGCGAAUGCUGACAUAAGUAACGAUAAAGCGGGUGAAAAGCCCGCUCGCCGGAAGACCAAGGGUUCCUGUCCAACGUUAAUCGGGGCAGGGUGAGUCGACCCCUAAGGCGAGGCCGAAAGGCGUAGUCGAUGGGAAACGGGUUAAUAUUCCCGUACUUGGUGUUACUGCGAAGGGGGGACGGAGAAGGCUAUGUUGGCCGGGCGACGGUUGUCCCGGUUUAAGCGUGUAGGUGUGUGUUCCAGGUAAAUCCGGUUCACUUUAACACUGAGGCGUGAUGACGAGGCACUACGGUGCUGAAGUAACAAAUGCCCUGCUUCCAGGAAAAGCCUCUAAGCAUCAGGUAACAUCAAAUCGUACCCCAAACCGACACAGGUGGUCAGGUAGAGAAUACCAAGGCGCUUGAGAGAACUCGGGUGAAGGAACUAGGCAAAAUGGUGCCGUAACUUCGGGAGAAGGCACGCUGACACGUAGGUGAAGUGAUUUACUCACGGAGCUGAAGUCAGUCGAAGAUACCAGCUGGCUGCAACUGUUUAUUAAAAACACAGCACUGUGCAAACACGAAAGUGGACGUAUACGGUGUGACGCCUGCCCGGUGCCGGAAGGUUAAUUGAUGGGGUCAGCGCAAGCGAAGCUCCUGAUCGAAGCCCCGGUAAACGGCGGCCGUAACUAUAACGGUCCUAAGGUAGCGAAAUUCCUUGUCGGGUAAGUUCCGACCUGCACGAAUGGCGUAAUGAUGGCCAGGCUGUCUCCACCCGAGACUCAGUGAAAUUGAACUCGCUGUGAAGAUGCAGUGUACCCGCGGCAAGACGGAAAGACCCCGUGAACCUUUACUAUAGCUUGACACUGAACAUUGAGCCUUGAUGUGUAGGAUAGGUGGGAGGCUUUGAANNCCGGGUUGCGGACAGUGUCUGGUGGGUAGUUUGACUGGGGCGGUCUCCUCCUAAAGAGUAACGGAGGAGCACGAAGGUUGGCUAAUCCUGGUCGGACAUCAGGAGGUUAGUGCAAUGGCAUAAGCCAGCUUGACUGCGAGCGUGACGGCGCGAGCAGGUGCGAAAGCAGGUCAUAGUGAUCCGGUGGUUCUGAAUGGAAGGGCCAUCGCUCAACGGAUAAAAGGUACUCCGGGGAUAACAGGCUGAUACCGCCCAAGAGUUCAUAUCGACGGCGGUGUUUGGCACCUCGAUGUCGGCUCAUCACAUCCUGGGGCUGAAGUAGGUCCCAAGGGUAUGGCUGUUCGCCAUUUAAAGUGGUACGCGAGCUGGGUUUAGAACGUCGUGAGACAGUUCGGUCCCUAUCUGCCGUGGGCGCUGGAGAACUGAGGGGGGCUGCUCCUAGUACGAGAGGACCGGAGUGGACGCAUCACUGGUGUUCGGGUUGUCAUGCCAAUGGCACUGCCCGGUAGCUAAAUGCGGAAGAGAUAAGUGCUGAAAGCAUCUAAGCACGAAACUUGCCCCGAGAUGAGUUCUCCCUGAGACUUAAAGUCUCCUGAAGGAACGUUGAAGACGACGACGUUGAUAGGCCGGGUGUGUAAGCGCAGCGAUGCGUUGAGCUAACCGGUACUAAUGAACCGUGAGGCUUAACCUUACAACGCCGAAG